GACGAACGCUGGCGGCGUGCUUAACACAUGCAAGUCGAACGGGCCUGUCUUCUUUUUUGGGGGUGGGUUGAGUGGCGAACGGGUGAGUAUCACGUGAGUAACCUGCCCUUCGGUCCUGGAUAACCGCUUGAAAGGGCGGCUAAUACGGGGUGGUCCGGUUGGUCCGCAUGGGCUGGUCGGGAUAGAUUCACUGUUUUUGGUGUUUCGGCGGGGGAUGGGCUCGCGGCCUAUCAGCUUGUUGGUGGGGUGAUGGCCUACCAAGGCGGUGACGGGUAGCCGGCCUGAGCGGGUGGGCGGCCACACUGGGACUGAGAUACGGCCCAGACUCCUGCGGGAGGCAGCAGUGGGGGGUAUUGCACAAUGGGCGGAAGCCUGAUGCAGCGACGUCGCGUGAGGGAUGGAGGCCUUCGGGUUGUGAACCUCUGUUUCCGGUGGUGAAGGCCCUGUCCGUGUGGUGGGGUUGACGGUAGCCGGGGAUGAAGCGCCGGCUAACUACGUG
rnacentral:rRNA from 1 species